GACGAACCGUACGAACGUUAUUCGGAAUCACUGGGCUUAAAGGGUGCGUAGGCGGCGCAGUAAGUUGGGUGUGAAAUCCCUCGGCUUAACCGAGGAAUUGCGCCCAAAACUACUGUGCUCGAGGGAGGUAGAGGUGAGCGGAACUUAGGGUGGAGCGGUGAAAUGCGUUGAUAUCCUAAGGAACACCGGUGGCGAAAGCGGCCCACUGGGUCUCAUCUGACGCUGAGGAACGAAAGCUAGGGUAGCGAACGGGG
rnacentral:rRNA from 1 species